UCCGUAGGGUGCAAGCGUUGUCCGGAAUUAUUGGGCGUAAAGAGCUCGUAGGCGGUUUGUUGCGUCGGCUGUGAAAACCUGAGGCUCAACCUCAGGCCUGCAGUCGAUACGAGCAGACUAGAGUGUUGCAGGGGAGACUGGAAUUCCUGGUGUAGCGGUGAAAUGCGCAGAUAUCAGGAGGAACACCGGUGGCGAAGGCGGGUCUCUGGGCAACAACUGACGCUGAGGAGCGAAAGCGUGGGGAGCGAACAGG
rnacentral:rRNA from 1 species